UGAAAUUGGGCUUAGUGAAGUACAUCCGACUGGCUCGAGGAGAAUGGCCACCGAAUCAACUUCCAGACCGGGAAAAGUUCGUCAAACCUCGGUCAAUUUUAAGAAGGAAGUAAAAAGUCGUAACAAGGGUCUCCGUAGGGUGAACCUGCGGAGGGAUCAUUACACAAAUAUGAAGGCGGGCUGGAACCUCUCGGGGGUUACAGCCUUGCUGAAUUAUUCACCCUUGUCUUUUGCGUACUUCUUGUUUCCUUGGUGGGUUCGCCCCACCACUAGGACAAACAUAAACCUUUUGUAAUUGCAAUCAGCGUCAGUAACAAAUUAAUAAUUACAACUUUCAACAACGGAUCUCUUGGUUCUGGCAUCGAUGAAGAACGCAGCGAAAUGCGAUAAGUAGUGUGAAUUGCAGAAUUCAGUGAAUCAUCGAAUCUUUGAACGCACAUUGCGCCCUUUGGUAUUCCAAAGGGCAUGCCUGUUCGAGCGUCAUUUGUACCCUCAAGCUUUGCUUGGUGUUGGGCGUCUUGUCUCUAGCUUUGCUGGAGACUCGCCUUAAAGUAAUUGGCAGCCGGCCUACUGGUUUCGGAGCGCAGCACAAGUCGCACUCUCUAUCAGCAAAGGUCUAGCAUCCAUUAAGCCUUUUUUCAACUUUUGACCUCGGAUCAGGUAGGGAUACCCGCUGAACUUAAGCAUAUCAAUAAGCGGAGGAAAAGAAACCAACAGGGAUUGCCCUAGUAACGGCGAGUGAAGCGGCAACAGCUCAAAUUUGAAAUCUGGCUCUUUUAGAGUCCGAGUUGUAAUUUGCAGAGGGCGCUUUGGCUUUGGCAGCGGUCCAAGUUCCUUGGAACAGGACGUCACAGAGGGUGAGAAUCCCGUACGUGGUCGCUGGCUAUUGCCGUGUAAAGCCCCUUCGACGAGUCGAGUUGUUUGGGAAUGCAGCUCUAAAUGGGAGGUACAUUUCUUCUAAAGCUAAAUAUUGGCCAGAGACCGAUAGCGCACAAGUAGAGUGAUCGAAAGAUGAAAAGUGACUGCAAAAGCGAGGAAGGCGUGCGC
rnacentral:rRNA from 1 species